GUUGUUGGGUAGGGGAGCGUUCUGUAAGCCUGUGAAGG
rnacentral:rRNA from 1 species